GGUUCCUUAGCCAAGUUGGUAAGGCAACAGACUGCAACUCUGUGAUUCGCCGGUUCAAGUCCGGCAGGAACCUCCA
rnacentral:tRNA from 1 species